UCUGGCAAUAUUGGCGAGAAGGUCACACCCGUUCCCAUACCGAACACGGAAGUUAAGCUUCUCAGCGCCGAUGGUAGUUGGGGCUUUGCCCCUGUGAGAGUAGGACGUUGCCAGGC
rnacentral:rRNA from 1 species